rnacentral:rRNA from 1 species
CCUACGGGGGGCUGCAGUAAGGAAUAUUGGUCAAUGGGCGCAAGCCUGAACCAGCCAUGCCGCGUGCAGGAAGACGGCCCUAUGGGUUGUAAACUGCUUUUAUACGGGAAUAAACCCCACUACGUGUAGUGGGCUGAAUGUACUGUAAGAAUAAGGAUCGGCUAACUCCGUGCCAGCAGCCGCGGUAAUACGGAGGAUCCAAGCGUUAUCCGGAUUUAUUGGGUUUAAAGGGUGCGUAGGCGGCUUAUUAAGUCAGGGGUGAAAGACGGUGGCUC